rnacentral:rRNA from 1 species
AUGAGUGAUACAAAGGUUUUACAGCACUUCUUAGGAAUUGUAAACUAUGCGCGAAACUAUAUAGAUAACUUAGCAAAGCUAGCAGGACCUUUAUAUGCUAAAUUAAGAAAAAAUGGUCAAAGAUACUUCAAUUCUGAAGAUAUAAAAUUAGUAAAGGCCAUCAAAGAAAAAGUCAAGAAUUUAAAACCCCUAGAAUUGCCUCUAGAAGACAAUUAUUUUAUAAUUGAGACAGAUGCAUCUAAGGUAGGAUGGGGUGCGAUACUAAAACAAAAGCCCAAUAAAUACUCUCCAAAAGCAGAUGAAAAAAUAUGCAGAUAUGCGUCAGGAAGUUACAAAUUAAAGACGGUAAAUAAUAUUGAUAGGGAAAUCCUUGCAGUUGUAAAUGCAAUAAAUGCAUUUAGGCUAUAUCUAGGAUUUAAAGAAUUUACGGUGCGAACAGACUGUGAAGCUAUAUGUCGAUAUUACAAUAAAAUUAAUAGUAAGAAAAGCUCAACCAGAAGAUGGGUCUUAUUUGAAGACAGCUAG